UGCUAACGUCCGUCGUGAAGAGGGAAACAACCCAGACCGCCAGCUAAGGUCCCAAAGUCAUGGUUAAGUGGGAAACGAUGUGGGAAGGCACAGACAGCCAGGAUGUUGGCUUAGAAGCAGCCAUCAUUUAAAGAAAGCGUAAUAGCUCACUGGUCGAGUCGGCCUGCGCGGAAGAUGUAACGGGGCUAAACCAUGCACCGAAGCUGCGGCAGCGACACUAAGUGUUGUUGGGUAGGGGAGCGUUCUGUAAGCCUGCGAAGGUGGCCUGUGAGGGCUGCUGGAGGUAUCAGAAGUGCGAAUGCUGACAUAAGUAACGAUAAAGCGGGUGAAAAGCCCGCUCGCCGGAAGACCAAGGGUUCCUGUCCAACGUUAAUCGGGGCAGGGUGAGUCGACCCCUAAGGCGAGGCCGAAAGGCGUAGUCGAUGGGAAACAGGUUAAUAUUCCUGUACUUGGUGUUACUGCGAAGGGGGGACGGAGAAGGCUAUGUUAGCCGGGCGACGGUUGUCCCGGUUUAAGCAUGUAGGCGGAGGUUCCAGGUAAAUCCGGUACCUUUUAACGCUGAGGUGUGAUGACGAGGCACUACGGUGCUGAAGUAACAAAUGCCCUGCUUCCAGGAAAAGCCUCUAAGCAUCAGGUAACAUUAAAUCGUACCCCAAACCGACACAGGUGGUCAGGUAGAGAAUACCAAGGCGCUUGAGAGAACUCGGGUGAAGGAACUAGGCAAAAUGGUGCCGUAACUUCGGGAGAAGGCACGCUGGUGUGUAGGUGAAGUCCCUGCGGACGGAGCUGAGACCAGUCGAAGAUACCAGCUGGCUGCAACUGUUUAUUAAAAACACAGCACUGUGCAAACACGAAAGUGGACGUAUACGGUGUGACGCCUGCCCGGUGCCGGAAGGUUAAUUGAUGGGGUUAUCCGUAAGGAGAAGCUCUUGAUCGAAGCCCCGGUAAACGGCGGCCGUAACUAUAACGGUCCUAAGGUAGCGAAAUUCCUUGUCGGGUAAGUUCCGACCUGCACGAAUGGCGUAAUGAUGGCCAGGCUGUCUCCACCCGAGACUCAGUGAAAUUGAACUCGCUGUGAAGAUGCAGUGUACCCGCGGCAAGACGGAAAGACCCCGUGAACCUUUACUAUAGCUUGACACUGAACAUUGAGCCUUGAUGUGUAGGAUAGGUGGGAGGCUUUGAAGCGUGGACGCCAGUCUGCGUGGAGCCAACCUUGAAAUACCACCCUUUAAUGUUUGAUGUUCUAACGUAGGCCCCUGACCGGGGUUGCGGACAGUGUCUGGUGGGUAGUUUGACUGGGGCGGUCUCCUCCCAAAGAGUAACGGAGGAGCACGAAGGUUAGCUAAUCCUGGUCGGACAUCAGGAGGUUAGUGCAAUGGCAUAAGCUAGCUUGACUGCGAGCGUGACGGCGCGAGCAGGUGCGAAAGCAGGUCAUAGUGAUCCGGUGGUUCUGAAUGGAAGGGCCAUCGCUCAACGGAUAAAAG
rnacentral:rRNA from 1 species